rnacentral:tRNA from 1 species
UGUAAAGUAAGCUAACAAAGCUCCCGGACUCAUAUUUCGGAAAUAGAGGUGAAAACCCUCUCUUUACUA